AUUGAACGCUGGCGGCAUGCUUUACACAUGCAAGUCGAACGGAAACAGGGUGCUUGCACCGCUGACGAGUGGCGUACGGGUGAGUAAUGCGUCGGAACGUGCCGAGUAGUGGGGGAUAACGCAGCGAAAGUUGUGCUAAUACCGCAUACGUACUGAGGUAGAAAGUGGGGGACCUUCGGGCCUCACGCUAUUCGAGCGGCCGACGUCUGAUUAGCUAGUAGGUGAGGUAAAGGCUCACCUAGGCGACGAUCAGUAGCGGGUCGGAGAGGAUGAUCCGCCACGCUGGGACUGAGACACGGACCAGACUCCUACGGGAGGCAGCAGUGGGGAAUUUUGGACAAUGGGCGAAAGCCUGAUCCAGCCAUGCCGCGUGUCUGAAGAAGGCCUUCGGGUUGUAAAGGACUUUUGUCAGGGAGGAAAUCCCUAGUGCUAAUAACACUGGGGGAUGACAGUACCUGAAGAAUAAGCACCGGCUAACUACGUGCCAGCCGCCGCCGUAA
rnacentral:rRNA from 1 species